ACUUUUUUAUUAUAAAUUAAUAUAUUUGAUUUCCAAUCAAAUGAUCUUGAAACAAGAAAAAGUA
rnacentral:tRNA from 1 species